UCCUGGCUCACCCAUCUUCCAGCUCCGAGCCCUGCCAGGGCCGCCUGCAGGCCUUGCUUGCCUUUCAAAAAUAACUCGAGUCCCUGACGAGGCCCAGGCUGCUUCCUGGGUGUCCCUGGGCUGCGUUAAUCCCCACAGCCCAGAACUUCACCAGCUUUGACCCCGGCGGGCCGGGCUGGUGAACAUCAGUGUCUUCUGGAGAAGGUCUUGGGCUAACCUAUUGUAGCCACUGUUAACGGUCAAGGAGUAAGGACAGGACAUCCCCGGUUGUGGUUGGCCACUUCAAGUGCUGACACCCACUCCUCAGCAUCCAAACAGGGACAGGGUGAGGAGAGUUUGGACUUGAACCCAGGCCCACUUUCUACUUGCUGCGGCUCAGAGCCUGGCUCCGGAUUAGGGCUCCGGUCUCCGCUCCAUUUGCUCUCUGUCUGGUCUCUCUUUGAGGACAUCUGAAUGGGAUAGAGUGACAGGAUGACCGAGAAGGUGGCCAAGCCUGGACUCGGGAUCACUGGAUACCGAGGGAAGGACGCUCUCCUGGCCUGCAGGGCACUGACCCUGCGAGCCCCCUGCCUCCCAGCCCCUGUCUCUCCUCCUCCUCCCGCAGCCCCUGCAGUCGGGGCUGAGCGGAAUCUGUGGGGAAAGGAGCGGGAUUUCGGCUAAAUAUACACCAGGCUGUUCUAGAAUCCAAAUAGAACAAAGGAGCAGGGUGUUAAGUUGAUUUUUAUAAAUAAAGAGAGAGGGAGUGAGAGAAUAUUUUUUCGAGAUGUUUAAUAAAAUCGCCUUGUGAAGAGGCAGGAAAAUCACUGGGCUGCGGUGGGAGGGUUCCGAGGAGGGCGGGAGGGAGGAGAGAGAGCGCGGGGGAUGCGGUUUCCUUGCUGGGAUCCAUUCCUUUCCUGCAAUCAGGGAGGGACGGUGGUGAGGAGAGGGCCAGAGAUGCAAGGGGAGCUCAGGGGGUCCCCGGCAGGAGGAGGAGAGGAGGAGGAUUACCAGUCCUAACAGUGUUUGCUGAGCACCUGCUGGAUGCCAAGUCCUGCACCAGCUUCCCGCCUGGUCCCCUGAGCCAAAGCACCGCAGUCUCUUAUUACCCGUUACUCAAAAAUAAACGGCACUUUUGGUCGG